rnacentral:rRNA from 1 species
CCCUUAGAUGUCCUGGACCGCACGCGUGCUACACUGACGCAUACAGCGAGCACUUUCCAGUUCCGAGAGGCUACUGGUAAUCAUCAAUAUGCGUCGUGAUGGGGAUAGAUCUUUGGAAUUCUGGAUCUUGAACGAGGAAUGCCUAGUAAUCGCAGGUCAUUAGCCUGCGAUGAUUAAGUCCCUGCCCUUUGUACACACCGCCCGUCGCUACUACCGAUUUCGAGUGGUCAGGUGAAUCUUUCGGACUGUGGGCGCCCUUGAGGUGUUCGCGGAAAGUCAGGUAAAUCUUAUCACUUAGAGGAAGUAAAAGUCGUAACA